AUCUUUUCCUUCUCCAAUCAUUCAUUCAUUCUCAAUGGAAACGAUUUCUAUCACUUCUUGUGAUAUUCUUCUUUUCAAACACUCUCCCUCUUCUUCUUCUUCUUCUUCUUCUUCUUCUUCAUCAUCAUCAUUUCAACCACAACAACAACCCCAUCAUCAUCAUUAUAACCCAAUCAUCUUCAUUACAUUUUCACAGUGAUAAACACAAAAAACACUCUUCUUUACCUUCAUUGAUGCUACACUACACUGAAAAUGCCCUCUUUCAUCAAUCACAAUCCACAUGGGAACAACUCCUAAACAGUUCAUAUAACCCAUCUCUUCAUUUCAUUUCAAAACUCUUCAAAUCUUACACAAAACAAAACAAAUUCAACGAAAUCAUCAACAUUCUUCAUUCACUAAGCUCAAAAAAAUUGACCCUUUUGCCUCAAUUUUACUCAUUAGCAAUCUCUUGUUUUGGAGCUGCAGGAAAGGUGAAAUUGAUGGAAGAAACAAUCGAUGAAAUGGUUUCAAAGGGUUUUCAAAUAGAUUCCAAAACAGGUAAUGAAAUUCUUUUGUGUUAUAGUGUUUUUGGUAGUUUGAAUGAAAUGGAAAAUGCUUAUGGAAGGUUUAAGAGAUCUAGGUUUUUGAUUGAGGAGAAUGUGAUUAGGGCUAUGUCUUAUGGUUAUCUAAAGAAGAGAAAAUUCUAUGAAUUGGGUCAGUUUGUUAGAGAUGUUGGUUUAGGUAGGAGAAAUGUAGGGAAUCUUUUGUGGAAUCUUUUGUUGCUUUCUUAUUCUGCUAAUUUUAAGAUGAAGAGUUUGCAGAGAGAGUUUGUUAGAAUGGUUGAAUUAGGGUUUCGUCCUGAUGUUACGACGUUUAAUAUCCGCGCUUUGGCGUUUUCGAGGAUGGCGUUGUUUUGGGAUCUUCAUCUUAGUAUUGACAUAUGAGAAGUGAGAAGGUUGUUUCUGAUUUGGUUACUUAUGGUUGUGUUGUCGAUGCUUACUUGGAUAGAAGGCAUGGAAGGAAUUUGGAGUUUGUUUUGAAUAAAAUGGAUGUGGAUGAUUGUCCGUGGUUGUUGACGGAUCCGUUUGUGUUUGAGGUUUUAGGUAAAGGUGACUUUCACUUGAGUUCCGAGGCAUUUAUGGAAUGCAAGACACAACAGCAUGAGUGGAGUUAUAGGGUUUUGAUAAAGAAAUAUCUUAAGAAACAGCAUCGGAUGGACCAAAUAUUUUGGAACUAAUAACUAAUUUAACAGAUUCGUUGGACACUCUCAGUGUUAUGUAGUUAAUUUGAAACAAAGUUGUUCUUAUGAAGUGUCAAGGUGGAGACAUGAUAAACAUCGUUCUAAAAGAGAACACUCCAUGCAUAUUUGUAGAAGAAUCGAACAUCAGAUGCAUUCAAUCUUGAAGAAUACUUGGUGAAAAUGAAAGACGGUACAGUUCAUUGUUUGGCAAUUUGCACAUGAAAAUCCAGGGAAUUCAUAUUCAUUUUUCCUACGCUUGUUGCUGUACCACAUGCAAGUAGGAUUGAUAUUAAGGUUCUUCAAAGAAAAUCCAUUCUCUACCUUCGUAAUCCGAACAAGUUUUAUCAAACGGUUCCGGAGCCCCUCCAAGGAGCUGUUAGUAUUUGAUGCGACUGUUUGAUGGCAACCACAAGAAUAGAGUCAAUGUUGGUGUCUGUGGAGCGCACUCAUGAAAGUUGGGCCAGAGAAAGAGAGGCCAAGAAAUUUCAGGAAAACCAAAAGAAGGAGGAGAAAUAGUUGCCGCAGGAAUUGCAUGAUGCACAGAUCAAAAGUUUGAAAGAGACAGAUUUUGGCAGCUUUAAUUUAGAAGUUUAAAAGGUAUGCUGAAGGUUAUGAUUUGAUAUGGUCUAUGGAAGUGUGCAAGAGCAUUGUGGGAGAUACAAAAGGCUUGCCGAGGUUGAAAUGCACUAAAAAUCAGAAAAGGAAAAUGUUUUAGAUGUGAUGAGAAAUGUGAGCCUAAUCAUGUUUGUUAAAAACAAACAAUAUUAAGUGAUGUUAUAGGAAGUUGUUCCGUGCUUGCUCAUCAUUGGCCCUUGGAAUCAUUGGUGGAUCUCUCAGUAAGCAACCUUUUGUGGUAUGACAAAUUGUGAAGUGAUUGAAAAGUGAGUCCAUUUUGAAGUCUCGUAAAGACUUACUUAGUUGCCUCCGGAAUAGCUUUAGAUAUAUGGAAGAUGUGUCCUCAAUCAAGGAGAAGGAAUGUUUCAUGGACCUAGGGCUGUUUCCUGAAGACCAAAGGAUCUGUGAUCCAACUUGGAUUGACAUUUGCAGUGAACUGUAUGAACUAGAUGAGGAUGGAAAUAAAGGUUCUGCAGGUAUUGGGAGAGUGAGAGAAUAGCUGCUACUUAGCAUGAGUGCAAUGGUAGCCAUGGUUGGUCGUUUAGCUACAUUGUCUUGGACACAUAGUAAGCCAAUAUGAAUGCAUCUCAUGAUUUCAUUUCUUGAACUGUUGUAUAAUAAUGGAUCUAUAAUAUUUGCAGCUGUUUCUUCCCUCCAACUUCUCCAUGCCUGCAAGUAUAUAUUUACUGUAUUUUAUAUAAUUAUUUAGCUAUUAUAUUUAGUCUAUCAGAGUACGAAUAAAAAAGGUCACACCAUUAUUACUUCUACAUGAAUGUGUAAGAGGAAUGUAAUCUUCUAAUUCCUAACUUUUACACACACCUCUACUCUAGUAUAUUAAUAAUGAGAGAUGAUAUUUUGAUACACAAGAUUGACAUGAAAAUUUUGACAACAAUUCAGAUGAGUAACAGUUCAAAUAUGUGGUUAAUUACGUUUAGUGAUAGUUAAUGAAUAUAACAAGAUGUCACAAGUUAUUAACCAUUCAUUAAACAAAAUUAACCAUGAUUUUGAACCUCAUUAAUCAUGGAUAUUUAAACACAAUCAUAGAGAAUUAUGUGGGUAGAUAGUUAAUUUGUUGUGACACUUUGUUGUAUUCAUUAUCCUUCUACUUAAUAUAAUUAACCAUAUGAUUGAAUUGUGUCGACCAUUUGAAUUAUUGUCGAAUACUGAUGCCAAGUUUCUGUGUCAAAAUAACCAAGGUAGACAGGAACGAGUCCCAGCACGUAGGAUCGUCCGCUCCUACGUGCUUCCCACACAAAAACGUGCCUCGUUCUUACCUGGGUUCGUUUUUUGCAUCUUCACAGUCAGGAACGAGUUCCUGAUACAGGAACGUAAGUUUAAAACGUGCUGGGCUUAGCUUAAGUGAUUUGGGCUUAACGGACCGGGUCGGGUCAAAAUAUAACCCGGUUUUAUAUAAAAGAUAAAACCCAGAAAAUUUUCAUUCUUCUGUUUCUUCCUCAGCCAAACCCUAAACGCGAAUGGCGGCCACUUCUCUUUUCCGGCGAAUUUCUCGCCGUCGUUCUCUCUCUACCCUCACCUAAACGUGUUUUCCGUCAUUCUCUCUCUCUACCCUCACCUAUUACUCUGUUUUCGUGUUUUCUUUCCAUACCCUUAUCAAGAAUUUCCUCCUGGCAUGGGAAUGAAUGAUGUCUUAAACUUAGAUGGGUAGUCUAGUUUCUAUGGUUUGUCCAUUUAGAAACUUAUUUUGAACUUGGUAGUUUCUUUUUGUUGUUACUUAUGAACUUGUAUUUUGAGUACUUAUGACUUAUGACUUAUUUUGAGUACUUUGAUGAUUAUGACUUAUUAAUUAAGUUUGA